CUUAUUGGGCUCCUGUCUGCAGGAUUUACGCGCACGUUGGAACCGAAGAGAGCUCUGUUGUUGCAAUGUUCAGCCCACAAGACCUUACUGGUGAAGGAAUGGGACAAGACCCAUCUUUAUGCAAAGCCAGCGUUACAGUAAUGUCCCAGCAUCUCAUAAUCUAUCCUGGGGAAUUCAGCUGCCUCCCAGGGUGAAUACAGGUAUUCCUGAUGACAGUCUGCCUUCUAUCUUACAGAGCAGCUUGUUGCUAUAUACCAUUGAAAAGCCUUCAGAGCUGAGAGGUACUACUAACCAAUAACCUGCUUGGCUCAAAGGGCCAGCACCUUCUCUCUAAAGCCCAAGAGGAGUUUGAGGAAAACUAGGUGUCUGUGUUCACUCCAGGCUGAAGUUACAGGUCUGAGCAAAUAAGGUGUAUAAAAAAUGGAAUCUGUCUUGGAGGACAUCGGAAGAUACAAGGGCUUGGUUUUGUUACCCAGGCUGGUUUCAAGGCCAUAGCUUUAAGAGAUCCUCUCACCACAGAUUUCCAAAGUGCUGGGAUUGCAGGUGUGAUUCAUGGCACCCAGACUUUGCUGCCUUUCUUACAUAAUCC
rnacentral:lncRNA from 1 species